AUUGAACGCUGGCGGCAGGCUUAACACAUGCAAGUCGAGCGGGGUGAUGGUGCUUGCACUAUCACCUAGCGGCGGACGGGUGAGUAAUGCUUAGGAAUCUGCCUAUUAGUGGGGGACAACAUUUCGAAAGGAAUGCUAAUACCGCAUACGUCCUACGGGAGAAAGCAGGGGAUCUUCGGACCUUGCGCUAAUAGAUGAGCCUAAGUCGGAUUAGCUAGUUGGUGGGGUAAAGGCCUACCAAGGCGACGAUCUGUAGCGGGUCUGAGAGGAUGAGCCGUCAAGCUGGGACGGAGACACGGCCCAGACUCCUACGGGAGGCAGCAGUGGGGAAUAUUGGACAAUGGGCGCAAGCCUGAUCCAGCCAUGCCGCGUGUGUGAAGAAGGCCUUAUGGUUGUAAAGCACUUUAAGCGAGGAGGAGGCUACUUUAGAUAAUACCUAGAGAUAGUGGACGUUACUCGCAGAAUAAGCACCGGCUAACUCUGUGCCAGCAGCCGCCGUAAAAC
rnacentral:rRNA from 1 species